GACGAACGUUGGCGGCGUGCUUAACACAUGCAAGUCGAACGGUGAAGCGCCUUCCUUUUUGGUGGGUGUGGAUGAGUGGCGAACGGGUGAGUAACACGUUAGUAACCUGCCCCCUUCUUCUUGAUAACCGCAUGAAAGUGUUGCUAAUACGGGAUAUUCUGGGUCUGUCGCAUGAUGGGUCUGGGAAAGAUUUUGAGUCGGUUGGGGAUGGGCUCGCGCCGUAUCAGCUUGUUGGUGGGGUGAUGGCCUACCAAGGCGGUGACGGGUAGCCGGCCUGAGAGGGUCGACGGCACCAGAGGGAAGAAGACGCGGCGAAGACUACGACGGGCAGCAGUAGGGAGGCUUAUGGAACAGGCGGCGGAAGGAUGAUGCAGCGCCGCCGCGGGAGUGAUGGUGUCCUGAGCGUUGUGAACUUCUUUCGCGAGAGAAGCAGGCCUGCCUCGUUUGUGGGUGGCUUGACGGUAGCUGGAUAAGAAGCGCCGGCUAACUACGUG
rnacentral:rRNA from 1 species